GACGAACGCUGGCGGCGUGCCUAAUACAUGCAAGUCGAGCGAACAGAUGAGGAGCUUGCUCCUCUGACGUUAGCGGCGGACGGGUGAGUAACACGUGGAUAACCUACCUAUAAGACUGGGAUAACUUCGGGAAACCGGAGCUAAUACCGGAUAAUAUAUUGAACCGCAUGGUUCAAUAGUGAAAGACGGUUUUGCUGUCACUUAUAGAUGGAUCCGCGCCGCAUUAGCUAGUUGGUAAGGUAACGGCUUACCGAGGCAACGAUGCGUAGCCGACCUGAGAGGGUGAUCGGCCACACUGGAACUGAGACACGGUCCAGACUCCUACGGGAGGCAGCAGUAGGGAAUCUUCCGCAAUGGGCGAAAGCCUGACGGAGCAACGCCGCGUGAGUGAUGAAGGUCUUCGGAUCGUAAAACUCUGUUAUUAGGGAAGAACAAAUGUGUAAGUAACUAUGCACGUCUUGACGGUACCUAAUCAGAAAGCCACGGCUAACUACGUG
rnacentral:rRNA from 1 species